AGAAACGGGGUUUCACCGUGUUAGCCAAGAUGGUCUCGAUCUACUGACCUCGUGAUCCGCCCGCCUUGGCCUCCCAAAGUGCUGGGAUUAUGCGUUCUCUCUUCAUAUCACAAUGACCAUGACCUUGGAUAUGGAGUCCACUCAAAAAUAAUCUGAACUAAUAAACAUAUUCUGCAAGGUUGAAGAAUACAAGGAGAUAUGGAAUCACCAAGGAAUACUGAAAUAGAAGAACCAAGUAGGAGAAUGUGCAAUUCUCAGUCUCAUAUCUCAUUACAAAACCAAACCAAACAAGGCAUUGGCACAAAAAUAGACAUACAGAUCAAUGGAACAGAACUGAGACCCCAGAAAUAAAACCAAGUGGUCAGCUGACUUUUUGCAAGCUUGCCAAGACCAUUGAAUGGGGAAAAAUAUUUUUUAAAUAUACAUUGCAGAGAUAAUUGGAUAUAAACAUCCAAAAGAAUGAAUUUGGAUGCUUAUCUUUCACCAUAUGCAAAAAUAACUGAAAAUGAAUUCAAGGCUAUAACUAUUAACUCAG